UUUUAUUUAAAGGCUAUCUCUUAACAGAACAUAGCUGUUCUUGCUUUUUUAUACAUUCUAAUCAUCUCAGCAUUUUUUUGAAUAUUUAUUUAUUUUUAUUUGUUUGGUUUCUUUGCCCACAAAACUUAUUCAUUUUGUCAAUCAUUUGAAAGUAGCUUGCAUUCAUAAAGCCCUUGGGCUUAGGUCUUUUUAAAAAAAAUUCAUUCAUCUGUUUUUAUGUGUUUAUUUUUUCAACUUUCAUUUUAGAUUCAGGGGGUAUAUUUGCAUGUUUGUUACCUGGGUAUAUUGCAUCAUGCUGAGGUUUGGGAUAUGAAUGGUAGCAUUACCCAGGUACUGAGCAUAGUACUCACCAUUUGGUUUUUCAACCUUUUCCCCUCUCCCUUCUUCCCUGCUCUAGUAGUCCCCAGUGUCUAUUGUUACCAUCUUCACGUCCACACGUACCCAAAGUUUAGUUCCUACUUACAAGUGAGAACAUGUGGCAUUUAGUUUUCUGUUCCUGCAUUAAAUUGCUAGGAUAAUGGUGUCUGGCUGCAUCCACGUGGCUGCAAAGGACAUGAUUCGAUUCUUUUUUAUUACUGCAUAAUAUCCCAUGAUAUACAUGUACCAAAUUUUCUUUAUCUGAUCCACCAUUGAUGGGCACCUAGGUUGAGUCCAUAUCUUUGCUAUUGUGAAUAGUGCUGUGACAAUGAACAUGCAAGUACAUGUGUCUUUGGUAGAAUGAUUUGUUUUCUUUUGGAUCUAUACACAGUAAUGGAAUUGCUGGAUCGAAUGGUAGUUCUGUUUUAAGUUCUUUGGGAAAUCACCAAACUGCUUUCCACAGUGGCCGAACUAAUUUACAUUCCCACCAACAGUGUAUAAGCAUUCCUGUUUCUCAGCAGCCUCACCAACAUGUGGUUUUUUUUUGUUUGUUUAGUUUUGUUUUGUUUUUGUUGUUUUUUUUUUUUUUACUUUAGCCAUUCUGACUGGUGUGAGAUGGUAUCUCAUGGUGGUUUUGAUUUGUAUUUCUCUGAUGAUUAGGGACAAUGAGCAUUUUUUCAUGUUUGUUGGCCACUUGUAUGUCUGUCUCCCUUUGAGAAGUUUCUGUUCAUGUCUUUUGCCCAUUUUUUAAUGGGGUUGGUUUUUGCUUGUUCAAUCAUUUAAGUUCCUUAUAGACUCCAGAUAUUAGACCUUUAGUGGUUGUGUAAUUUGUGAAUAUUUUCUGUCAUCCUGUAGGUUGUUUACUCUGUUGACAGUUUCUUUUGCUGUGCAGAAGCUCUCUGGUUUGAUUAGUCUCACUUGUCAAUUUUUGGUUUUGUUGCAAUUGCUUUUGAGGACUUAGUCAUAAAUUCUUUCCCAAGGCUGAUGUCCAGAAUGGUGUUUCCUAGGUUUUCCUCUAGGAUUCUCAUACUUUGAGUUCUUACAUUUAAAUCUUUACUCCAUAUGGAGUUAGCUUUGUAUAUGGUGAAAUGUAGGGGUCCAGUUUCAUUCUUCUGUAUAUGGCUAGCCAGUUAUCCCAGCGCCAUUUAUUAAAUAAGGAAACCUUUCUCCAUUGCUUUUGUUAACUUUGUUGAAGAUCAGAUGGUUGUAAGUGUGCAGCUUUAUUUCUGGGUUCUCUAGUCUGUUCCAUUGGUUUCUGUGUCUGUCUUGUACCAGUACUAUACUGGUUUGGUUACUGUAGCCUUGUAGUAUAGCUUGGAGUUGGAAAAUGUGUGCCUCCAGCUUUGUUCUUUUUGUUUAAGUUUGCUUUGGCUAUUCAGUCUCUUUUUUGAUUCCACAUGUACUUUAUAAUAGUUUUUUCCAGUUCUGUGAAAUAUGGUAGAGUAGUUUUAUAAACUACCUGUAUAAAACCUGUAGAUUAUUUUGGGCAGUAUGGCCACAUUAAUGAAAUUGAUUCUUCCAAUCCAUGAGCAUGGAAUGUUUUUCCAUCUGUUUGUGUCUUCUAUGAUUUCUUUUAGCAGUGUUUUGUGGUUCCCCUUGUAGAUACAUUUCAUCUCCUUGGUUAGAUGUAUUCCUAAGUAUUUUAUAUACUUCUAUUUUUUCAGGCUAUUGUAAAUGAGAUUUCCUUCUUGAUUUGGCUCGCAAGUUGAACAUUAUUGGUGUACAGAAAUGCUACUGAUUUCUGUACAUUGAUUUAAUGACCUGAAACUUUACUGAAGUUGUUUCUGAGUUCUAGGAGGCUUUUGGUGGCGUCUUUGAGUUUUUUAGGAAUAGAAUCAUAUUGUCUGCAAAGAGAGAUAGUUUGAUUUCUUCUUUUCCUAUUAAGAUGCAUUUUAUUUCUUUCUCUUGCCUGAUUGCUGUGGCUAGCACUUCCAGUACUAUGUUGAAUAGGAGUAGUAAGAGUGGGCAUCUUUGUCUUGUUCCAGUUCGCAAGGGUAAUGCUUUCAGUUUUUGCCCAUUCAGUAUGAUAUUGGCUGUGGUUUUAUCAUAGAUGGCUCUUAUUAUUUAGAGGUAUGUUCUUCAGUGCCUACUUUCUUGAAGUUUUUUAUCAUGAAGGGAUGUUGGAUUAUAGCAAAAGCUUUUUCUACAUCUAGUGAGAUGAUUCUAAGGCUUUUUAAAAAUCCUAUUUAUGUGGUGAAUCACAUUUGUAUUUGCUCAUGUUGGACCAAAUUUGCAUGCCAGAAUGAAGCCUACUUGAUCAUGGUAAAUUAACCUUUUGAUGUGCUGUUGAAUUUGGUUUGCUGGUAUUAUGUUCAGGAUUUUUGCCUCUAUGUUCAUCAGGGAUAUUGGCCUGUUGAUUUCUUUUUUUUUUAUUGUGUGUUUGUCAGGUUUGCUAUCAGGGUGAUGCACAGAAUGAGUUUGGGAGGAGUUGCUCCUCUUCAAUUUUUUGGAAUAGUUCAGUAGAAUUGUACCAGCUCUUCUUUGUACAUCAGGUAGAAUUUUGCUAUGACACUGCUACAUUUUAAUUAGUGAUUAGUCCACUGACAUUUAGUCUGAUUACUGAUAUGGUUGCAUUUAGAGCUGCAAGUUUAUUAUAUGUUUUCUGUUUGCUCCUCCACUUCUUGUUUUUCUUUUUCUUCCCUCUGCAACUUUUGGAUCAUUUUUUUCUUAAUUUAGGAUUCUAUUUUAUCUUUGGAUUUUCAGUGGUUUUUCUAGGAAUUAAAACAUAUAUUCUUGAUCUUUCACAGUCUACUUAGAUUUAAUUUUAUACUAUCUCAUAUAAAAUUGGAAAACCUUGCAACUGUAUAAAUCCAUUUGCCACUGCCUCCAUUCUUUAUGCUAUAAAGUCAUAUGGAUUACAUCUGUACAUAUUACAUUAUAAACACCACAAGACAAUGUUAUAAUUUUUGCUUUAACAGGUCCUGUGUAGUUAAAGAUCUUAUCAUGAAAAACUAGUCUUUUAUAUUUACAAUUUCCAAAAUUUUUUCAUUCCUUCUUGAAGACUUAAGAUUCCAUCUGGUGUUAUCUCACUUUAUAGCCUGAACAAUCUUUCCUUUAGCAUUUCUGUGGGGCAGGUCUGCUGAUAAUAAAUGCUCUUAGUUUCCUUUUAUCUGAAAAUGUACUAAUUUGCCUUUACUCACAAAGGAUAUUUUUGCUACACAUAGAAUUCUGGAUUAACAGUGUUUUGCUUUUUUUUUUACCCCUCGUUUGUACUUUAAAAACAUCAUUUCAAUUUUUCUGGCCUUUAUAAAUUCUGAUGAGACGUCAUCGUUCAUUUAAAGCAUUGUUCCACCAAAGAUACCGUGCCAUUUUUCUCUGGCUACUAUCAAGAUUCUCUCUUUAUUGUUGGUCCUCACCAGUUGGAAUAUGAUGUACCUAUGCACAGUUUUCUUCAAAUGUAUCCCAUUUGGGAUUCACUGCAUUUCUUGAUCUAUGCAUUUAUGUAUUUCACCAAAUUUGAAAAUUUGGGCCCAUUAUUUCUUCAAAUAUUUUGUUCUGUUUCAUUCUCUUUCUCUUCUCCUUCUGAGACUCCAAUUACAUGUAAGCUAGACAUUUUAAUUUCUGUUACACAGGUCCCUGAGUCUCUGUUUAUUUUUUUUAUUCAGUCAUUUUAAGUCUUUUUUUCUGUCUGUUCUUCCAAAAGAAAAUUUCUAUGGAUCUAUCUUUAAGUUCACUAACACUUUCCUUUGUUUCCUCCAGUUGCUGUAAGUAUACUCAAUGAGUUUUUAUUUCAAAUACUGUAUUUUUCAGUUUCAGGAUUUCUAUUUGGUUCUUUUUGCAGUUUCUGUUUACUACCUUCUUAUUCAUUAUGAGUUUAUUUUCCUAUUAUUUGUGGAGCAUGGUUAAAAUAGCCACUUUAAAAUCUUUGUUAAUUCCCACAUUUGGCUCAUCUUGGAAUUGGUCUCAGAUAAUUGCUUUUUGUCUUCAGAAUGAGUCACAUUUUAUUGGGUUUCCAUAUAGCGUGUAAUUUGGGGUUGUAUGAUAUGCAAGUAUUGAUGUUAUUGUAUGCAGAGCUUCAAUCCUGUUAUAGUUUUCUGAAGGGUAUUGAUUUAUUUGUUUUAGCAGGCAAUUAUUUAUACUCAAAUUUAAAACUAUCCCUUGGGUAGCAGCUCGAAUCUCAGUUCAGUUCUUUUAUCUUUGUGAUAAUUUGUGUCUGCUCCAUCAAGAAUAUACACAUGACAUAUACCUCAGAAUUACAUGACGUGAUCUCACUUGGAAUUUUAUCAAGUGCAUAUUCAUCUACAAUUCCUACUUCUUCUUAAUAUAAUGAUUUACUAUCAUGAAAUGUUCUCCUUCAUCUCUGGUAACUCUUUUUGUCUGAAAGUUUAGUUUGUCUCAUAUUAAUAAAUUCAAGGGUCAACCAGAAAUUUGGGUAGUGUUUAUAUACAGAUUUGGGAGCUUCCCCUCUCUGCCUCUCUUCUUUCCAAGAUUCUGAAUUCAUUUUCCUGUGGCUAUGAUUGCCCUGAACCCUGUUCUUUGGGUCUUCAAACCAAAAACACUGUGAGUUUUCUAUUGGAGGAUGGCCACCCGAAAUGACAUUAAUUUUAGCCUGUUCUCACUCUAAAAGUUGUAAAAUGGGAAACUCACUCUGGACCGAUCUGUGCUUCCAAGUUUUGAAUUUCAGCUCCCCUCCAGAAUCUGUCUGCUUAUUUUUAUUCUCUAAUGCUUCCAGGUAAUUUCUUUUUUCUUUUCUUUUUUCUUUUCUUUUUUUUUUUUUUGUUUUUGGUCUUUUGGUACUUUAUAGUUGAUAUCUGUGAGAAUUUCAGAUCCAGUAGAACUUACUUAGCCAUAUUGGAAAUGGAAACAAGUAAAAACAUUUAGGAAACAUUCCUUUGCAUUUCCUAACACCUCUCCUCAAAAUACUUAACCUCCGUCCAUUCCCUCAUUUAGUGACAUUUGAGUUUGGUUUUAAGUAGAAAUAGAAGCCAGGCUCAGGGCUUCCUUGAUCAUCUUGCCAAGUACAUGAGAAGACUUGGAAUGAAAACACAGCAUAAAGUUAAAUGAUAGAAUGAUAGAACAUCAAUCAAUUCUAGCUCUUAGACUGGUGGCAUUUAAUCUCAAAGCAAUGAGGCUUAUACAGAAUCAUGACUACCAGUGAUUAUCUACAUGGUACUUUGCCACGUUAUUUUACCUUAUUUCUUUGGUCUCAGAUAUCUCUAAAUCCUGCCUCAUUGAAAACUGCAAUAGAUAAUAUGCCACGAGAAACAGAAUACUGAAAAUCCUAAAAUGCCAACCCAGAGUUGGUAAUUGCACAAUUCCUUCUAAUCAUAAUCAUUAUGGCUUCCACUUCUUGAAAGCUUCUGUAUACCAGCCACCUUGCUAACCACUUUACAUUAAUUGUCAGUUAAUCCUUCACAACUAUUCUUUGAGCAGUUCCCAUAACUAGCUUCAUUUUACGGAGGAAGUAACCAGAGUUCCGAGAGGUUGAGUUCACUAAGAGCACACAGCAAACAGUAGAACUCUGAGUCAGUCUUUGUAAAGAGAAGAAAUAGCAAAGGGGUUUUGGAGACAUCAGGCACAUACUCUUUACUAUUAGGAGAGAAAAUAGAAGUCUUUCUAGGAGUAAGUAGGGUUUCUAAAACUUAAAUAGUCUACAGUCCUUUUUGUCAGUAAUUAUUGAUAUUAAAAUGCCACCCUUCCAGAAACAAUAUAUUUUAUAUUGACAGCUUUUAUGUUUAAAAAGAACCUUCUAGCCGGGAGUGAUGGCUCACACCUGUAAUCCCUGCACUUUGGGUGGCUGAGGUGGGUGGAUCACUUGAGGUCAGGGGUUCAAGACCAGCCUGGCCAACACGGUAAAACCCCAUCUCUACUAAAAAUACAAAAAUUAGGUGGGCCUGGUGGCGGGCGCUUGUAAUCCCAGCUACUUGGGAGGCUGAGGCACAAAAAUUGCUUAAACCCAGGAGGUAGAGGUUGCGGUUAGCUGAGAUCACACCAUUGUACUCCAGCCUGGGCGACAGCGAGACUCCAUUUCAAAAAAGAAAGCCCUCCUUCAGGGCUUAAAACACUAACCCAAACAAUAACAAAAGGAUCAAAUAAUUAUAUGUAAAGGCUCAUAUGAAAAGGCACAUAACACCAGUGCUCCAUUUUACCUCAUUUCAUUUACUGCCUUUAAACUUUGUUUUCCAGGUAAACCAUCUAAACAGGCAGGUGACCUGCCAGAGAAAAAUCUGGCACAUUAGGAAGUAAAGAUGCCUGCCUCAUCCCACAACAAGAUGCAGCAAUGUCUCACAGUUCUACAACUCUAGGGGCAAUCCUGCCCAACUUUGCAAAUUUUGCAUAAACCGUGGGUUUCAAGUGACUUUGGAAUGAGAGGGAAAGGGAAGGCAGCACGAAGGAUAAGCUGGCUGACAUUGUAAAGUGGAUACAGGAAACUGGGACUUAACCGGAAGCAGGAAAAGGAAUACAGUAUCUUUGUGUUCUGGUACAUAGGAUUAUUCAAUAUACAUAUUUAUUAUACAUGUUAAAUUGUCUGAGACCCGGAAAUGAGAGAUACUGUUAAAGGAGUAAAGAUGAGAUGAGGUAACAGAAAAGGAGAGGAGUAAAUAUGAGUCCUAAGGAGGGGUUACAUGAGCACAGUCCCCUGACGACAUGCUAGAGAUUACCAGAUUAGUGCAUUGCUCCUACUUUCUUGCUAUUAUUAUUAUUAUUAUGGGGUUUUUUUGGCAGGGUCUCACUCUGUCGCCUAGGCUGGAGUGCAAUGGCAUGAUCUUAGCUCACUGCAACCUCCACCUCCCAGGUUCAAGUGAUUCUCCUGCCUCAGCCUCCUGAGUAGCUGGGAUUACAGACACCUGCUACCACAUCCGGCUAAUUUUUGGAUUUUUGGUAGAGAUGAGGUUUCACCAUGUUGGCCAGGCUGGUCUCAAACUCCUGACCUCAAGUGAUCCACCUACCUCGGCCUCCCAAAGUGCUGGGAUUACAGGCCCUUUGCUGCUAUUUUUAAAAAUACAUAUUCAACAUAUCCGGUGAAAUCAUUCAAAGAUGCAUACAGAUAAGUGAUUAUUUUACUCUAACGUAAAGCCUCUUUGUAAGACCUACCCUUCACUGUCUGUCCCAGCAUAUGCCCUAGGACUUCCUCUGACCAUGAACAGUACCAUGCCACUGAAGGAGAUCUGUUUCAACAGAGCCUCCUCCUGCUGCUCCUAACUUUAUUUCCAUUCCACUAGCAUUCUCAAAGUCAUGCAAAACAUAACAACCUGACUUUGUAACUGUUUAACCUUACUUUUUACACGUAAAAAUUAUUAAAUAUGUGUAACUGCUGGGGGGAGGAUAAUAUAAUGGCAUGUCAGUCAGGUAACAGGUAAGCUACAUUUCAUGGAAAAGAAGGGGAAUGCUUUCUUCAGAAAGUGAAGUCAUCAUUCUUUUAUUUAACUGACAUAAUAUUUAUACCCCAAUUUUUAAAAUGGCAGCUACAAAUAGAAGUCGAAAGAGGGUAAAUUCUCCAAGGGAAUCUAGCCCUGAAAUUUUACCAUUUUAAAAGUUCUAUUUUACAAGUACAUAGGAACAUUACUACUAUUAUAAGGAUACUCACAGCAGGUCAAUUAUUUCAAACUCUUUGAAAAAAAAAUCAAAAUUAAGUAAACCUACCUUUCAGAAGACUGCUACCUCUUCGGAGUCCUCAGUGGCAGGAUGCACAGAGCUUUUAUAGAGGGUCUAAGCAGGCAGGUAUUCCUAGGAUACCUACACCAAGGACAAGAAAUUCAGAUGAUUAUUUCAGCAGUGAUCCAGAUGGCUCUAGGUACAAUUUCAUUAGGAACGUUCACCAUGAAUACUGAGCAUUGCCACACAGGUAUUGUUAAAAGGGCAGAAUGAAGGUACAUAUGUGAUUUUUGCAGGCAUUGUCAUUAAUCUGUACAUUGGAGACUGUGGCUCAAAAGGGUGUAAGUGGUUCAUACAUGAUCACACAAGAAAAGGGGCAGAACCAUGCCUUAAUUAUUCAUUUCUGAUUCCUAGUCCAGGGUUGUUUCAGCCACAUCAUCUGAUCCUCCUCAAGAACUGGAAAGUCCUGGCACUGGGGCUUUCCAUUUUGCAAAAAGAUGAGGCUGACCCGUGAGUCUGGUGGGAAGAGUCUUUCUCUGGUUUUCUGGUGGUCUAUGCCAAGUCACCUGUCUGAAGUGUCCUGUGUGGCCAGUUUACUCACUUUCCCUUGAAACUCUGGUGUCCACAGAAUCUGAAGGAAUCUGACAAGCAAAGAAACAUGGGUUUUUUUGGUCCCACUGGCCUGAGUUUGAAUCCUAGUAAUGUGUUUACUACUUCUGUAUCCUAUGUAGCUGCUCAACAUCACUGAGGCUCACUUUCUAUCUCUAUCAAACGGGUAUAAUAAUAUUUGAAGG
rnacentral:lncRNA from 1 species